AUCCGGAGAUCUCUGAAUGGGGGAACCCACCUAGGAUAACCUAGGUAUCUUGUACUGAAUCCAUAGGUGCAAGAGGCGAACCAGGGGAACUGAAACAUCUAAGUACCCUGAGGAAAAGAAAUCAACCGAGAUUCCCUUAGUAGUGGCGAGCGAACGGGGAUUAGCCCUUAAGCUUCAUUGAUUUUAGCGGAACGCUCUGGAAAGUGCGGCCAUAGUGGGUGAUAGCCCCGUACGCGAAAGGAUCUUUGAAGUGAAAUCGAGUAGGACGGAGCACGAGAAACUUUGUCUGAACAUGGGGGGACCAUCCUCCAAGGCUAAAUACUACUGACUGACCGAUAGUGAACCAGUACCGUGAGGGAAAGGCGAAAAGAACCCCGGAGAGGGGAGUGAAAUAGAACCUGAAACCGUAUGCGUACAAGCAGUGGGAGCCUACUUGUUAGGUGACUGCGUACCUUUUGUAUAAUGGGUCAGCGACUUAUAUUCAGUGGCAAGCUUAACCGUAUAGGGUAGGCGUAGCGAAAGCGAGUCUUAAUAGGGCGUUUAGUCGCUGGGUAUAGACCCGAAACCGGGCGAUCUAUCCAUGAGCAGGUUGAAGGUUAGGUAACACUGACUGGAGGACCGAACCCACUCCCGUUGAAAAGGUAGGGGAUGACUUGUGGAUCGGAGUGAAAGGCUAAUCAAGCUCGGAGAUAGCUGGUUCUCCUCGAAAGCUAUUUAGGUAGCGCCUCAUGUAUCACUCUGGGGGGUAGAGCACUGUUUCGGCUAGGGGGUCAUCCCGACUUACCAAACCGAUGCAAACUCCGAAUACCCAGAAGUGCCGAGCAUGGGAGACACACGGCGGGUGCUAACGUCCGUCGUGAAAAGGGAAACAACCCAGACCGCCAGCUAAGGUCCCAAAGUUGUGGUUAAGUGGUAAACGAUGUGGGAAGGCUUAGACAGCUAGG
rnacentral:rRNA from 1 species